AUGCUACUCAAAAAGGACACAAAAAGAAUUUUCCUCAGUCAUGUGUGUCUCAAUAAUCUUUCCAAAGACAAUCACAAAAUAAGGCACACUAUAUCCAAUAUGUGCAGGGUAAGAAACUUUAGACUCCACCAAAAUUUUGGACUUUGAGUCUCAGAAGCUUGAUACAGUACAACCAAAGGUCAGGGCUUGCGGCAGUUUGAGUCCAAAGGAUAUCAGGACUCAAGACCAACUAGGACAGUGAUGAGCAACCUUUUGAACGUGGUGUGUCAAAAUUCGCCAAAGAACCGAGCAUAACUCAGGUACUGUGUCACUUCACUAUUUCCAAUGGCAGGAAACAGCACCCAUAGCACAGGCCCUUGCCUCUCCCAGUCUCCCCUUCACUUAUCUCAGUAAUGAUGGUCAAUUAGAAAUCCACGACACCCCAGAACAGUAGAUUGGAUGAUGGUUGCUGUAGUUAUGUGGUUGCUGGUAAUGGCGAUCACAGAGCCCUCAGAAAUACAUCCCUCGUGCCAUUCCAUUGCUCCCUGCUCCUCCGACCGGGCGUGAGGUCAAAGAUCUCCUGAAGGCCUAACCGGGCAGGGCUGUGGCGCAGCUGGUUAGUAGCCAGCUGCAAUAAAUCACUACUGAGUUCGAAGCCAACCCGGGUCCGAGUGAGCUCCCAAACAUUAAUAGUCUAGCUCGCUGUUGAUCUAUACAGCUCAAAAGACAGUUGCAUCUGUCGAGUAGAAAAUCUAGGUACCGCUUUAUGUGGGGAGGCUAAUUUAACUAAUUUACAACACCAUAAAACCUUCCAGCAGCAUGUAGAAAGGAAUGAGGAAGUAAUACCAUCAAGGACUCGGGUGUCACAAGUGGACGAUGAAGCGGCAGCUCCCUCUGUGGCCGGAAUCGAGCAUAUCCUCAUGAAGCCGGAAGCUGGAAAAUGUUAAAUUGCCUCUGUGUCUAGUCUAUAUAUGUUGCAUGUCGUAUGGCAUUGAAUGUUUGCCAUGUAUAUGUGCAUUGUGAUCCGCCCUGAGUCCCCUUCGGGGUGAGAAAGAAGGGUGGAAUAUAAAUACUGUAAAUAAAUAAAUUAAUUAAUUUAUUUAUUUAUUUACAGUAUUUAUAUUCCGCCCUUCUCACCCCGAAGGGGACUCAAGGCGGACCACAUUAUACACACGUAGGGCAAACAUUCAAUGCCCAUAUACACAUAGAACCGAGACAGAGACAGACAGACGCAGAGACAAUUUAACCUUCUCCUGAGGGGAUGUUUGAUUCUGGCCACAGGGGGGAGCAGCUGCUUCAUCAUCCACUCUGACCGCACUUCCUCAUUCCAACGUCGUAAAUUAGUUAAGCUUGCCUCCCCACUUUAUAGGUGGUACCUUAUUUCCUACUUGAUAGAUGCAACUAUCUUUCGGGUUGCUAGGUCAGCAACGAGCAGGGGUUAUUUUUAAUUUUUAAUUGACGGGUGCUCACCCCGCCACGGGCUGGCCUCGAACCCAUGAUCUCAUGGUCAGAGUGAUUUAUUGCAGCUGCUCAACAGCCUGAGCCACAGCCCGGCCCCAGAAGUCCCAGAUAAAUAAAUAACCAGAAGUCCCAGAACUAGAUGCUCUGUGCCAGAAUUCUGAUGUUUUGGUCUAUAGACCUCCAGCACAGGGUGUCAACACUACAG
rnacentral:lncRNA from 1 species